GAUGAACGCUGGCGGCGUGCUUAACACAUGCAAGUCGAACGGAACUACUCCAAUGAGAGUCUUCGGAAAGGAUUUGGUUUAGUUUAGUGGCGGACGGGUGAGUAACGCGUGGGUAACCUGCCCUAUACAGGGGGAUAACAGUUGGAAACGACUGUUAAUACCGCAUAAGCGCACAGGAGCGCAUGCUCCGGUGUGAAAAACUCCGGUGGUAUAGGAUGGACCCGCGUCUGAUUAGCUGGUUGGCGGGGUAACGGCCCACCAAGGCGACGAUAAGUAGCCGGGCUGAGAGGGUGAACGGCCACAUUGGGACUGAGACACGGCCCAAACUCCUACGGGAGGCAGCAGUGGGGAAUAUUGCACAAUGGGGGAAACCAUGAUGCAGCGACGCCGCGUGAGCGAAGAAGUAUCUCGGUAUGUAAAGCUCUAUCAGCAGGGAAGAAAAUGACGGUACCUGACGAAGAAGCCCCGGCUAACUACGUG
rnacentral:rRNA from 1 species